GCGCUCCGUAGCUCAGCUGGAUAGAGUACCUGGCUACGAACCAGGCGGUCAGAGGUUCGAAUCCUCUCGGACGCGCCA
rnacentral:tRNA from 1 species